rnacentral:tRNA from 1 species
GCAGUGGUAGUUCAGUGGUAGAAUCCUUGCCUUCUAAGCAGGAGACCCAGGUUCAGUUCCCGGCCAAGGCA